rnacentral:misc_RNA from 1 species
UUUCCGUAGGUGAACCUGCGGAAGGAUCAUUCAUAAUAAAGUGUUUUAUGGCACUUUUUAAAAAUCCAUAUCCACCUUGUGUGCAAUGUUAGAUCUCGUCAAUCUUGGCGAGAUUUUUAUACAUCAACUCAUUCUUUAACUAAUUUGUCUGAAAAAUAUUAUGAGUACUUAAUUCAAAAUAUAACUUUCAACAACGGAUCUCUUGGCUCUC